GGGUAAAUGGCGAAAUUGGUAUACGCAUCACACUCAAAAUGUGACGACUCACGUCUUGAGGGUUCAAAUCCCUCUUUACCCA
rnacentral:tRNA from 1 species